CCUACGGGUGGCUGCAGUGGGGGAUAUUGCACAAUGGGGGCAACCCUGAUGCAGCGACGCCGCGUGAGCGAUGGAGUACUUCGGUAUGUAAAGCUCUGUCAGCAGGGAAGAGAAUGACGGUACCUGACCAAGAAGCCCCGGCUUAAUACGUGCCAGCCGCCGCGGUCAUACGUAUGGGGCAAGGGUUAUCCGGAUUUACUGGGUGGAAAGGGAGCGGAGGCGGGAGGGCAAGCCUGGUGUGAAAGCCCGGGGCUAAACCCCGGGACUGCAUUGGAAACUGCCUCGCGUGAGGGCCGGAGGGGCAGGGGGAAUUCCUAGUGUAGCGGUGAAAUGGGUAGAUAAUAGGAGGGACACCAGGGGCGAAGGCGGACUGUUGGAAGGGGGACUGACGCUGAGGCUCGAAAGCGUGGGGAGCAAACAGGAUUAGAUACCCGAGUAGUC
rnacentral:rRNA from 1 species